CAGCAGAUGCGUGCUGUGGUUAUACAAACAGUUACCUUUCUGCACACACAGUUGUGAAAAUCUGGUCCUAAACAUUAUUUUUUUUUGGCAUUUUUUUUCACUUUGCAGGCGAAUUGCAGAGGUGUUGUCCGAGGUGCUGAGUCGUCCUCGGGUCAUUGUGGAGCCAAAGCUGGAGGUGCUCCAUGGCACUGAAAAUAACAUCACUGGCUUAAUCAUCAACAAAGGCUUAGUACCAAGAUUUUGCAGCUGGCAUCCAAUGAACUCUGAGAUAGCACUUGGGAGUCCUAAGCAACUAGUAAUACCUGUUUUUCUACAAAAUUAAUAAAUGCAAGUGUUAACUGUUCUAAAUUCACUUAAGAAACAAUUCUCCCGGAAAGAUUUGUGGUUUUCAUUAAAACAGAGAACAUAGAAGAGGAAAUGUAAGGCCUGAUGCUUAGCGUCCAUUAAACCCCACAAUUUGGCCAAGCUUUUGCAGGGCUUACUGAGUAUGCAAUAAAGCAGUCAGCAAACUGUCCUUGUAGCCUUUCAAUCAUUAUAAAACACAUUUAAGUACUUCCUAAGUGUGCAGCAGGUUAGUGACUAAUGAAGCAGCUGCAGCCUACCGACUGGAUCCAGCACUAAACAAGGCAGAGCAGAGCAGGUAAGCAGUGCUGGACCGCAAGGUGGGCAUAAAGAGCAAAGGAAGCGACUCUGUUCUCGGCUGAGGAAUUGACUUCAGUGUAAGAAACCAUGUUUUGCACUGAGUCUUGGUAUUAUUUCUGUUGUCUUAUCCCAAGUACAAUAGCUGGCUGUCCUGUACUAGGUAGAUCAAACCCUAAGCAGGACUGUUGUCUGGCUGCUCGCUGCUGAACAAACCAUUGCUCCUUCUGAAGUCCUGGCUGUAGGAGACAAAUGUGGAUUCCCCUGGAAAUUCGCCCAGAUCUAAAUCUGGCCCUGAGCCCCAGUGGCUGCGUUAGGAAAUGGAAGCUUCCCAGGACCAGCUCUGCCUCUGUUGAUGCUCGGGACCAGCAGACAGUUUCUGUGAAACUGCCUGUUCUGACUGGAGGGAGUGUAUCCGAGCUGUAAGGAGCAAAAAGUAAGAAUAAGCAAGGAUGUGUUACACACAGCCUACUGCAUUCGUCAGAAAGGCUUUAUUUACACAAAGAAGUUGAAAUGCUUCAGCUAACCCCAGUAGUAAUUACCCCUUUCCUCUUCUCUUCCUCCUCUUAAGUAUGUACAUCACCCUACCCCUCAUUCCAAAACGCUGCUCCUGACACCAUUAGUCAGGAGUUAUUUCAGCACAGCCAUUUCACUGUGCACUUUCACACCUGUACAGCUAUCUCCACGUGAAGACCCGUAUCCAAACCCAUAAACCCUGCUGAAUGAGAGCAGGUGCUCUGCAAGGACCAGGCCUGAUUAACUUGUGAGCUGCACUGGUAAAGGCACCUUUGCACAAACGCAGUGAGUUAUUCUUGCUUUAGCUGUGAAACUUUAAGAUGAUACAAAACAAGGUUUUGAAUUCCCUUCCUCUUUCUUCAAGUCUUCGAGGUGUUGCUUUAGCUAAAGUAGCAGCUGAACAAACAGAAACGAGCAGUAAAUGCACCAGAGCAUGGUGCCAGAGCUGACUGCCACCUGUGUCACCCACAGCAGGCAGCUCUUACCCGCCCCUGUUGCAGACCUACCUGCUAUAGGAAGCAUAGAUCGUCAUUGCAGUGCAGCCACGAUCACAGCACAGGAUUUGCUUGCAUUCCGUAAUUUAUCGUGAAUGUUUUGCAAUACCGAGUGGGAAGAAAAAAACAAGAAAUAGUUCUAGGGAUUUUUCUAGUACCACACUGCUAGGAAGAUCUGUUUCCCAUAACCAAAUUAUAGACACAAAACAACCACUAACCUAACCACUUGAAGGGAAGUGAGUACACAGCUCGCCAGACAAAGGAGAUGACACCAGUAACACAGGUUGAAUGUUGCCUGUCAGAACAGCAAUAGGCAAAGAAGACAAUUUUCAUAGGUUUCAGUGGCUGCAAAAUCUAAAUCUAUCUAGCAUAGACUCGGGGCAUUUCUGCAACCAGCCUGUGGACGUUUUGAUUUA
rnacentral:lncRNA from 1 species